rnacentral:rRNA from 1 species
UGGGGAAUAUUGCACAAUGGGCGCAAGCCUGAUGCAGCAACGCCGCGUGAGGGACGACGGCCUUCGGGUUGUAAACCUCUUUUAGUAGGGAAGAAGCGAAAGUGACGGUACCUGCAGAAAAAGCACCGGCUAACUACGUGCCAGCAGCCGCGGUAAUACGUAGGGUGCGAGCGUUGUCCGGAAUUAUUGGGCGUAAAGAGCUCGUAGGCGGUCUGUCGCGUCUGCUGUGAAAACCCGAGGCUCAACCUCGGGCCUGCAGUGGGUACGGGCAGACUAGAGUGCGGUAGGGGAGAAUGGAAUUCCUGGUGUAGCGGUGGAAUGCGCAGAUAUCAGGAGGAACACCGAUGGCGAAGGCAGUUCUCUGGGCCGUAACUGACGCUGAGGAGCGAAAGCGUGGGGAGCGAACAGGAUUAGAUACCCUGGUAGUCCACGCCGUAAAACGUUGGGCGCUAGAUGUGGGGACCAUUCCACGGUUUCCGUGUCGCAGCUAACGCAUUAAGCGCCCCGCCUGGGGAGUACGGCCGCAA